UAUUAAUUUUGAUUAAUUAAAUUUAUUAUUAAAAUUAAUAUUUAAUAAUUGAUUUAUUUAAAUAAUAAAAUAAGUUAAUUAAUAAUAAAAAUAUUUUUUUGUUUUAGUAUUUUUUAGAAAUAAUAAAUUUAAUGAUAGAUAAAAAGUAUUGUAAAAGAAAAUUAAAAUUUAUUAAAAAGAAAAUUUUAUUUAUUGUAUCUUGUGUAUCAGAGUUUAUUAAUAAUAAAUUAGUUAAUUAAUUAUCUUGAAAUUUUAGGAGUUAUAAUUAUUUAAUUUUAAUGUUUUAAAAUUAAAAUAAAAAUAUUUAUGGUAAUGAAAAGUUAAUCGAUUAAAAUUAUAUCUAGUUAUUUUGGAAAUUAAUUUAAUUAAUAUUAUAAAUUAAUUUAUUAAAAUUUAAUUUUUAUUAAAUUAUUUAUUAUAAAUAUAAAAAGGGAUAAUUUUUUUUAUAUUAUUAAAAAUGUUAAUAAAAUAAAUAAUUUGUUAGAUUAGUAUUAUUUAUCAAUAAUAAUUUUUAUUAAAGAAUUAUUUUUUGUAAAAAAUUUAUUAAUAUUUUAAUUUAUUUAUAAAAUUGAAUUAUUUAAUUAAAUAAUAAUUAAAAAAAUGAUAAAAUUAGUAAAUAGUUAUUUAAAAAUUUAUAAAAUUAAAAGAUUAAAUUAAAGAAUUUAACAAAUAUAUUUUUUACCUGUUUAUUAAAAACAUGUCUAUUUGAAAAGAAUAAAUAGUUUAAUCUGCCCAUUGAAAAAUUAAAAGGCUGCAGUAUAUUGACUGUACAAAGGUAGCAUAAUCAUUAGUUUUUUAAUUGAAAACUGGAAUGAAGGAUUGAAUAAAAAAUAAUUGUUUCAAUUUAAUUAAUUGAAUUUUUUUAUUAAGUGAAAAAACUUAAAUAAAAUUAAAAGACAAGAAGACCCUAUAAAUUUUUAUUAUUAAUUAAUUUAUAUUAAAGUUUAAUUUAAUUGGGGAAAUUAAAAGAUUAAAAAAAUUCUUUUUUUUAUUAAUAAAGAUAAUUAAUUUAAUGAUUUUUUAAAAAAGAUAUAAGAAUAAGUUACUUUAGGGAUAACAGCAUAAUUUUUUUGGAGAGUUCUUAUUAAUAAAAAAGAUUGUGACCUCGAUGUUGGAUUAUAAUAUAUUAUUAUAUGAAGAGUUAUAAUAAUUAAGUCUGUUCGACUUAAAAUUUUACAUGAUCUGAGUUUAAAUCGGUGUGAGCCAGAUUGGUUUUUAUCUUUAAAAUAAAAUAAUUUAGUACGAAAGGAAUUAUUAUUAAAUAUUAUAUUUAUUAAAUGAAUAAAAUU
rnacentral:rRNA from 1 species